UGUCUCCUCCACCCUCCUCCAAAAGGUGGAUUAAGCCCGAGCCAACAACGCUUGGGCUUUUUUUC
rnacentral:ncRNA from 1 species